rnacentral:rRNA from 1 species
UACGUAGGGGGCAAGCGUUAUCCGGAUUUACUGGGUGUAAAGGGGGCGCAGACGGCGAUGCAAGCCAGGAGCGAAAGCCCGGGGCCCAACCCCGGGACUGCUCUUGGAACUGCGUGGCUGGAGUGCAGGAGGGGCAGGCGGAAUUCCUGGUGUAGCGGUGAAAUGCGUAGAUAUCAGGAGGAACCCCGGUGGCGAAGGCGGCCUGCUGGACUGCAACUGACGUUGAGGCCCGAAAGCGUGGGGAGCAAACAGG